rnacentral:rRNA from 1 species
UACGUAGGGCGCAAGCGUUGUCCGGAAUUAUUGGGCGUAAAGAGCUCGUAGGCGGUCCGUCACGUCUGCCGUGAAAACCCGAGGCUUAACCUCGGGCCUGCGGUGGAUACGGGCGAACUAGAGGUAGGUAGGGGAGAACGGAAUUCCCGGUGUAGCGGUGAAAUGCGCAGAUAUCGGGAGGAACACCGGUGGCGAAGGCGGUUCUCUGGGCCUUACCUGACGCUGAGGAGCGAAAGCGUGGGGAGCGAACAGG